GCUCACUUCAGCUGUUCAUGCAGUCAAACUGGGACGAUACAGAGGAGAUUAGCAUGGCCACUGUGCAAGUAAGACACACAAAUUUGUGAAUCAUUCCGUACCUUU